UACGAAGGGGGCUAGCGUUGCUCGGAAUCACUGGGCGUAAAGCGCACGUAGGCGGACUCUUAAGUCGGGGGUGAAAUCCUGGAGCUCAACUCCAGAACUGCCUUCGAUACUGAGAGUCUUGAGUUCGGGAGAGGUGAGUGGAACUGCGAGUGUAGAGGUGAAAUUCGUAGAUAUUCGCAAGAACACCAGUGGCGAAGGCGGCUCACUGGCCCGAUACUGACGCUGAUGUGCGAAAGCGUGGGGAGCAAACAGGG
rnacentral:rRNA from 1 species